AUGAGGGCUGUCAUCCACCUGCCAGGUGACGUGACUUGGGCUGGGCUGACCUGGGCUGAGCUGAGCUGGGCUGAGCUGGGCUGUGCUGGACUAAGCUGGACUAAGCUGGACUUGAGCUGGGCCGGACUGGUUGAUGUGAACAGUGUCUUCUGGACUCUCUGGGAACUGCCAACGACUGCGGCCUCUCCCAGGCUCUUCCCACUGAUCCACCCUAGAUGUGCAUUAAAAGACACUUCAGCGACCGUGAUCGCCGGCUGCCUGAUCCGGGGCUUCUUCCCCCUGGGCCCUCUGAGUGUGAGCUGGAACGCCAGCGGGAAGAACGUGACCUUCCCACCCGUCCCGUCUGGCACUUCAGGCCCGUACACCACGUGCAGCCUGCUGAGCCUAACACCGGAGCAGUGUCCUGAGGAUGACAAUGUGGUCUGCCACGUGGAGCACAACUAUGACAAGGGCCAGAAUCUGACUGUGCUCUACCCAGAAUGCCAACCGCCAACUCCUAGUCCUACAACUCCAACCACCUGCCCCUGCCCCUGCCCCUCCCCCUCCUGUGGGGAGCCCAGCCUGUCCCUGCAGCGGCCAGACCUCGGGGACCUGCUCCUGAACUCGAACGCCAGCCUCACCUGCACCCUGAGAGGCCUGUUGGACCCCGAGGGCGCCGUCUUCACCUGGGAGCCCACAUUUGGGAAGGAACCCGUCCAGCUGAGUCCCAAGCUUGACCACUGCGGCUGCUACAGUGUGUCCAGCGUGCUGCCCGGCUGUGCGGCGGCCUGGAAUGCAGGGACAAAGUUCAACUGCACAGUCACCCACCCUGAGAUAAAGGGCGUCUCCCUAACAGACAUAAUCAGCAAAGACACAGGUGUCGUCAUCGCGCCCCAGGUCCAUCUGCUGCCGCCACCAUCAGAGGAGCUGGCCCUCAACGCGCUGGUGACACUGACCUGCCUGGUGCGGGGCUUCAGCCCCAAGGACGUGCUGGUGUACUGGACGAACAAAGGCGUGAAUGUCCCUGAAAACAGCUUCCUGGUGUGGGAGCCCCUGCCUGAGCCCGGCCAGGAACCCACAACCUACGCCGUCACCAGCCUGCUGCGCGUGCCGGCCGAGGACUGGAACCAGAAUGAAAGCUACACCUGCGUGGUGGGCCAUGAGGGCCUGGCCGAGCACUUCACCCAGAAGACCAUCGACCGCCUGUCGGGUAAACCCACCCACGUCAACGUGUCUGUGGUCGUGGCAGACGUGGAAGGCGUGUGCUACUGAGCCCCAUGGCCCUGCCCUGAAUAAACUCCGUGCUCGCCCCCAGCA